rfam:Salmo salar isolate Sally breed double haploid chromosome ssa15, whole genome shotgun sequence.
UGGCUCAGUUGGUAGAGCAUGGUGUUUGCAACGCCAGCAUUGUGGGUUCGAUUCCCAC